GUAUCUUCGGAUAUGAGUAGAGCGGCGGACGGGUGAGUAACGCGUAGGAAUCUACCUAGUAGAAGGGGAUAGCCCGGGGAAACCCGGAUUAAUACCGUAUACCUCCUUCGGGAGAAAGAAGGCCUCUCUUUGAAGCUUUCGCUACUAGAUGAGCCUGCGUAAGAUUAGCUUGUUGGUGAGGUAAAGGCUCACCAAGGCUACGAUCUUUAGCUGGUCUGAGAGGACGAUCAGCCACAUUGGGACUGAGACACGGCCCAGACUCCUACGGGAGGCAGCAGUGGGGAAUAUUGGACAAUGGGCGCAAGCCUGAUCCAGCCAUACCGCGUGUGUGAAGAAGGCCUUCGGGUUGUAAAGCACUUUAAGCAGGGAGAAAAAGUUAUAAGUUAAUACCUUAUAACCCUGAUGUUACCUGCAGAAUAAGCACCGGCUAAUUCCGUGCCAGCAGCCGCGGUAAUACGGAAGGUGCAAGCGUUAAUCGGAAUUACUGGGCGUAAAGCGCGCGUAGGUGGUUUGUUAAGUUGGAUGUGAAAGCCCUGGGCUCAACCUAGGAACUGCAUCCAAAACUAACUCACUAGAGUACGAUAGAGGGAGGUAGAAUUCAUAGUGUAGCGGUGGAAUGCGUAGAUAUUAUGAAGAAUACCAGUGGCGAAGGCGGCCUCCUGGAUCUGUACUGACACUGAGGUGCGAAAGCGUGGGUAGCGAACAGGAUUAGAUACCCUGGUAGUCCACGCCGUAAACGAUGACAACUAGCUGUUGGGAGACUAUGUCUUUCAGUGGCGCAGCUAACGC
rnacentral:rRNA from 1 species